GCUGUGUAAGGUCUUGGCAUCACUAAGCAAAGCCUGCUUUUCCACAAGGUUCAAGUGCUGGUGAGACCACCCAGGACAUCCACAGCUCCCCAGGUGAGGAUGAGCAUGCAGGUAUGCCGGCUGCAUGGGCAUGUCCUGCUCCCUGCCUCUCCCCAUCACAACUUGCUGGCCUCACACCCUCUGUCCCCCAGCUCCACAUGCCCAGAUCCCGCACACCCUCCCCACAGGCACGGUGCUGGCAGUGGCAGCCGUUGGCCUCGUCCUUCUGGCUGCAGGCAGCUGGUUUGUCAUCAAGAAAGGUGCCUGCAGAGGGAGAUGCCCAAGGCAGCAGCACGUUGACAGCCCACAGACGGAAGACACCAACUAUGGUGACAUCCAGUGUGAGUACUACCUCCUCCCUCGGGGGAAGCCACAUGCUCCUCUCCCCAUGAGAAUCCUGUGCGAGCCCCCAUGCAAUCCCAUCACUUCAUUUCCCACUGGGACAUACAAAAUCCCUGCCCGUUCAUCAAGGCCAGGUUUCUCUCCAGCACCUCACGUCCUGCUUCUUCCUUGCAUGCAGAGUGUGUGCGAGGCUGCUGGCUGCACAAGGGACAUGGCAGCAUCCCAGUGCUCAUGGGGAGAAAGCGCCUUUGCCUGGGGAGUCCUUUCACAGCUGCUGCAGCCCCAGGCUGCAAUUCCCCCACCUCAGCCUCUUCUUUUGUUAUUUCUUCAGUUUUCCUACAAAGCAAUUUCUGUUUUCAUGCAAUUGAAAGGACAGAGCAGCAGUGAAAGAUGUGGCUCUCUUUCCUUGUGCUUGUGAGGAAACCAUUUUAGAGUUCGCUCUGUAACCACAGGUAGCAACAAAGAGAGGAUGUUGUGGUUGGGUCACAGGCUAUAGAUAUAUCCCUACCCUAUGAGUACAUCACUCCAAGUUGACCUCUAACCUCUAACAAGGUUACAACACAACCUUGUUUUUGCAGACGUGCACAGAGCAGCUUGCAAGGUGUGCUGGCUGUGCAAGGAG
rnacentral:lncRNA from 1 species